GCAGGACCAGGGGCCACCGACGCAAAUGGACGUGGUUCGCAGAGGGCGGUCGGGGUCCAGCCAAGGGAGGCCGCCUCCUUCCCGCCUGCACCGCCUGGGUCCUGUUCUCCCCUUGUUCAGAUGGGGUUUUACUGUUUUUACAGUCCCCAGCCUGGACGCUCCCCUGGGAGAAGCAAGCCCCUGCUCAGGGGAGCCGAGGGUCUCGGUGCUCCUGUCACAGAGGAGCACUUGACACUGCAAAGACCAAAUGCGGGAGAGGCCGGGGCAGCUCUGGCCAGGACACCUGGGGCCUCGCCGGGCACGUGCUCCAUGAUGCUGAUCCGGAGUGGAGCAGGCCAGUACCAGACUCCUGCCGGGCUCCCAGGCUGAGCAGGAGGGAGCCGGAGCCUGGCUGUCUGCGGGGGGGCGGGGGACUUCCUGCUGCCCCUGGCCCUGGUGCUCGGUGUCCUGGGCCUGAGUCUUGGCUCACCAAGAGCCCGCACAGCCGAGUGCCGGCCCAACCGUGACCGCUCUGAGGAGAAGGCGGCAGCCACAGGGCAAGGAGCUGCUCGGGUGCCCUAGGACGGCAGUGGUCCCUGCAUGAACCCAAGCGGGGCCACUUGAGUGCCAAGAGGAAGGGAGACUAAAGUGACUGGAACACACCAAAUACUCAAACACUGGUGAGCCUAUGAAGAAACUGAGAGGAAAACACUUCUCUCUCUGCCACCAUCGGUGACUCUCAUCCCAACCCCUCUCCACGGCGACACGCGGUGAAGGAGGAAGCACGCGACAGAGAAAGUUACACAGGAGAUAAUGACGUCCCCACUGUCCUCUGGGAGAUGCUCGUGCUGCCGUAGCUGCCACUCUGGAGUCCAGCCUGGACGGGGCUGGCCGCAGAGGGCUUCACACUCGCGGCUGAGCCAGGAGCCGUUUGCUGUGUGGCAGCACUGGUCCGAGUGCCCCACGUUCGAGACCCCACCUAAGGUUCGGCUCAGGCCCACCUGAGCUGCUGUUGGAAGAAGGGGCUCAGCCCCUGGUGAAGAUUGGAGCUUCCACCUGGUCCCCCCGCCAACC